rnacentral:lncRNA from 1 species
AAUUUGCAUCUGGGAGGCGUCCAUUUCCUUUGCUUGUGAUGAAAGCACAGAAGUGAUGGGGGCACAUGUGAGUUCUACUGGUGCAGCUAUUGCAGCUGCAGGAAGAGUAGAAGACAAAGGGAGUUUUCUUCAUGACAGCAACAUCAGCCAUUUGCUUCAAGUUUAUAACUAUUGAGGAAAUGGAGAGGAACACUUGCUGUCAGAAAUCACAGCAGCUGUACAGAAGCUGGAUGUAUUCUGGGGACAGUUCUUGUAACCAGGGUUCCUGUCCAAAAGGAGAUAAAUAAUCAUAGAGUUGCUCAGGUUGGAAAAGACCUUAAAGAUCAUGAAGUCCAACUGCAACCUAACCAUGGUACCCUAACUCUAACAACUCACCACAAGAGAGAGGAGGGGAGCAAGGCAGUCCAAGAAAGAGUGAAGCCAGCUCUUUCCAAGAGCAGGGGAAGUCUCUGUGGAGAGAAUCCCAAGAACUUGAGCUUCCUCUGAGAUGUACCCCACCGUGUCUCAGCAAGGAGACAACCGCUGUUCCCAUUUCUGCUCUGCAAUUGGAACGAAGCUGAUGCAAGCAGCCUUGCAGAAAGAUAGGGGAGGACUGCAGAGUGUGCCGUGGCACCGAAGAGGUACAGACACACAACAGGCAUCUGGGUUUGAUGUACUGUUCUGGUUAGGCUUUCUGUCUGUCCUUUCCUGGGACUGUUUUCCUUGUGUGUCCUUUCCUGUCCUGAUGUGAAAUGUGAACCCAAAGUUCCCCCAAGAUCCUAAGAUGCAUUACCGCAAUCACUCAAGAUCAGAUUUCCUAGUAUUGUGGCCCGUUCUGCAGACUGAAAGUGGUGUUGGACCCUCUUUAAAUCUUGUUGCUUCUCCUUUCUUGAUGAUGACAGUGAGAGGUGCUGAGGCAAAUGGAAAGGGGUGCAUGAAUGCAGUGCAAGAAGUCCAUUCUGAGAGAGCUCGUUGAUGAGCAGGAUCUGAAGCUCAUUUCUAGUCUGGUGGGCUUCCUACAAGAGCAGGUCCCAGCUUAGGGACCCAGCAGCAGAGCAG